UACGUAGGGCGCAGGCGUUAUCCGGAAUUAUUGGGCGUAAAGGGCUUGUAGGCGGUCUGUCGCGUCUGCUGUGAAAAUCCGGGGCUCAACCCCGGACUUGCAGUGGGUACGGGCAGACUAGAGUGUGGUAGGGGAGACUGGAAUUCCUGGUGUAGCGGUGAAAUGCGCAGAUAUCAGGAGGAACACCGAUGGCGAAGGCAGGUCUCUGGGCCACUACUGACGCUGAGAAGCGAAAGCAUGGGGAGCGAACAGG
rnacentral:rRNA from 1 species